UGCUGAUUAGUUGUUGUCCUUCGGGGCUCUGGCCCCGUCUCCAGCAGCUGAAGCACACCGGCCCGUCCAACUGUGAUCCACGUCCCCCUGCUUCCUCCUCGCCGAGCCAUGACCUCUCCAAGGGAUCUUGAUAUGGUGAGUGAGGCUCUGACACCUUUUUUAGGAUGUUAUGUUCCAGCACAGAGGUGAUCGUCCUCCACCGAUGGCUCACUGAUUUGAAGCCUUGCACACUUAAUGUUACACAAACAUAAUACAUUUAAUUAUUAAGAUGGUGUCAUUACAUUAACGUUUCCUCAAAGUUGAAAUCAUUUAGGGUUUUGGGGUAGGAGGAGGGGGGUGGGGGUGUCAUGGAUUAGCAAACGUCCCCACACACUUAGCUGGGACAGUGACGGCUGUCUAACGCCAUCUGUCUGUCUAAUCUCGGUUAAAAUGUUGCCCUACUUUCCUUUCAAGGUUUUUGAUUGUACCCUCUUAUUAAAUCCCAGCAGCAGCCCCCCUCGAUAUGAACGGACAACGGAUAUUUAGAAAGGAUGGAAGUUAUACGUAUUGGUUUUAUUUUGGUGUUAUUUGGUUAUUAUUAUUAUUACACUUGUCCUCAAUACACCAAUCAUUUUAUUGUUCCAAAUGUAUAUAGCAAAAAAUAACUCAUUUAACCUUUCAGAUUAUUGGCUGGCUACAUUGGGCAUUUUAAAUGAUAUAAAAUAUAUUCAAAGAAGAAAUGCAUCCCAUCUGUUAUCUAGGAUACCUACAUUAGGUAAAAAUGUUCAUAACCUGACCAACUAUUAACCCUUUAGAUAAUACCAGCGUUUGAGGAACCUGAAGAACAUUCGUGCUGCAGGAUGUUGCCGUGGGUCAUCAGGCAGAUCUGCCCUUUGUUUUUGAUUUGGUUGGGAUGAAAGGGACGGGGACGGGGACAAAGCCUGUUAAUGACGACAUGGGUAUGUAACUUCACAUUGAGGUUAUUCAGUUCAGGGGGGGGAGGGGAGGGCAGAGGACCACCGAGCGAGGGAGGAUUUUAUUUGUAAACAGAUCAGAGAGUGGGGCUGCCCCACCCCUCCCCCCCUCGACGUCCCACCUCAUGGUUAAUU
ensembl:lncRNA